rnacentral:rRNA from 1 species
UACGUAGGGGGCCAGCGUUGCUCGGAAUUACUGGGCGUAAAGGGUUCGUAGGUGGUGCGGCAAGUUGGAAGUGAAAUCUCUGGGCUUAACCCAGAGGCUGCUUUCAAAACUGCCGCGCUCGAGUGCGAGAGAGGUCAGUGGAAUUGCAGGUGUAGCGGUGAAAUGCGUAGAUAUCUGCAGGAACACCAAUGGCGAAGGCAGCUCGCUGGGACGGUACUGACGCUGAGACGCGAAAGCGUGGGGAGCAAACAGG